AAAGAUUCAUCGCUGAUAGAUAGGCAUGCGUUCCAUUAGGCAGUUGGCGGGGUAACGGCCCACCAAACCGACGAUGGAUAGGGGUUCUGAGAGGAAGGUCCCCCACAUUGGUACUGAGACACGGACCAAACUCCUACGGGAGGCAGCAGUGAGGAAUAUUGGUCAAUGGGCGUAAGCCUGAACCAGCCAAGUCGCGUGAGGGAUGAAGGUUCUAUGGAUCGUAAACCUCUUUUAUAAGGGAAUAAAGUGUGGGACGUGCCCUAUUUUGUAUGUACCUUAUGAAUAAGGAUCGGCUAACUCCGUGCCAGCAGCCGCGGUAAUACGGAGGAUCCGAGCGUUAUCCGGAUUUAUUGGGUUUAAAGGGUGCGUAGGCGGCCUUUUAAGUCAGCGGUGAAAGUCUGUGGCUCAACCAUAGAAUUGCCGUUGAAACUGGGGGGCUUGAGUAUGUUUGAGGCAGGCGGAAUGCGUGGUGUAGCGGUGAAAUGCUUAGAUAUCACGCAGAACCCCGAUUGCGAAGGCAGCCUGCCAAGCCAUGACUGACGCUGAUGCACGAAAGCGUGGGGAUCAAACAGGAUUAGAUACCCUGGUAGUCCAUGCAGUAA
rnacentral:rRNA from 1 species